rnacentral:tRNA from 1 species
GGAGUGGUAGCUCAGUUGGUUAGAGCACCGGCCUGUCACGCCGGGGGUCGCGGGUUCGAGUCCCGUUCACUCCGCCA